ensembl:lncRNA
GUGACAUUCUGGGUCCGUUCUGGUCUCAAAUCGAGUAUAUAGAAUGAAUAUAAAAUCCCUAGUUUACGGUUGGAUUAAGAUCAUUGUUUCUUCCAUCAAUUUAUUCUGAUCAUUUGAUAAUUUUCACAACAUCAAAAGCAACGCGCCCUCCCCUCCACCCCAAAUGCCUCAUUGCCCUUGUGUUUUCUGCAUUAAACAACAAACGAGUCAAUUCGUCCAUCUUUGCCAUUUUAAAUGCAUCCACAUACCUAAACCAGGUUUAAGAUCUUACAGCCACAUCGAGCAGGCCGGUGUUUUGCGAGGGCCGCUACCGUCAAACGGUCUGGUCCAAAAAAAGUAUAGCUCAAAACUUAAGAAGUUGUUCACACAAGAGAAACUAUAAUCUUGCCCAACCGGCUGAGAAGUGAAGCUGUUUGUUCUAGAGAACAUUCUUAAAUGUUCAGGUUAGAAAAGUGCAAAAUGUGGCAUUUAGGAGUCGUCGUGUUCGCUAUCUGUACGGGCUAAUGGUUUGUUUACCACGUAGCUGACAUAGCGGAUUAGAAGCAAUGAAUUAUUAAUGGGAUGAUCGUUUCCUGUCGAUUACAGUGCAGUAAUGGGCCGUGUAGAGCCGCAUUGUGUGGCGCUGUAAGUCACGUGCCUCUUUAUAAGGGAAAUCACAGCGUGAGGGACAAAGACAAAAACCUGCACACACAAAGGAUUGAACACGAGCGUGUGCACCGGGAAGCUGCUCGCACACACUGCGGAGACGGGAAUCGUCUUUGUGAACACGGCUUCGGGUGAAUAAUGAGUGGAGGCGGCAUGCCGAGGUGUGAGGAUCACCAUUCCUCGUCAGAGGGUGGAGGCGGUCCGCCGGGACCUCCACACAGACCCGACGGAGAAGGGAGGGCAGCCAAUCAAACAAUCGUCCCUUUUAGUGGUGUCAAGAGCGACGAGGACGCAGUGUCGGGCACACGAGACAACAAACACGACGGCUCUCUGACGGCUUUGUUUCCACGACGGGAUUCUGUGAUGUGAUCCGUUUGGGGACCGUAGGACCGUUUUAUACGAUGACUUCAAGCCGUCUGCCCGCACACUUUGCCACGUGUUUGGGAAGUUUGGACGAAGGUUUGUCUACGACGCCUCCCGGCCCGUCAGAGAUCAGCCAAUCGUGGGGCGUAUUCAUUCUGCAGAGACGCUGCUGGGGGACACCUGCACACUAGUGGACCUUCCGUAUUUAAAAAGUAGAUUAUGUGAUUCGAGCGCUUUGCGAGCAUCCACGUUCAACCGCGCGAAGGCAGCGACAACAAUCGAUUGACUGUGUUCAUACUGGCGCACAAACAUCCAUUUGGCCAGCGGGGGGGGA